rnacentral:rRNA from 1 species
AGUGAACGCUGGCGGCGUGCCUAACACAUGCAAGUCGAACGAGAACGGAAUAUAGCUUGCUAUAUUUGUCAGCUAAGUGGCGCACGGGUGAGUAAUGCAUAGAUAACCUGCCCGUAAGAAAGGAAUAACAGUUGGAAACGACUGCUAAUGCCCUAUAUGCCUUUAAUACAUAAGUAUGCAAGGGAAACGCUUUAGUGCUUAAGGAUGGGUCUGUAUGGCAUCAGGUUGUUGGUGAGGUAAUGGCUCACCAAGGCUAUGACGCCUAACUGGUUUGAGAGGAUGAUCAGUCACACUGGAACUGAGACACGGUGCAGACUCCUGCGGGAGGCAGCAGUGGGGAAUAUUGCACAAUGGACGAAAGUAUGAUGCAGCAACGCCGCGUGGAGGAUGACACAUUUCGGUGCGUAAACUCCUUUUAUAUAGGAAGAUAAUGACGGUACUAUAUGAAUAAGCACCGGCUAACUCCGUGCCAGCAGCCGCAGUAA